rnacentral:misc_RNA from 1 species
CAUAUCAAACUAUUUACUAGCCUGUCUUCGUGUUUGUCUGAGGAUCUCAGCCGGUUUAUGAAUUAAAGAAAACGAUCACAAUUUUCAUCUCCCAACAACUCUUUCUUUAAGUAUUAUUUUCAAACCAAGUUUUCAAAUAUCGCUGGAAUGGCCCUCUAACUAUCGAUAAAUAAGAUGAUUUAUAAGCAAUUAUCUGCUUCGAGUUUAAAAAGAAAAAUGUUUUGUCACCGGAGCACGCGAAUAGGCUGCAUGCAUUUGUUAUUGUUAAUGUCAGUAGCUCUGUUUAUGUAUGUAUUGAGCUUUUACGCUGUGCCUGUUCUUCAAAGUACUUAAUACACACAGGUUAACUGUCAACAUGCCGCGUAAUGUUCAGAGUUUGAAUUUUAUCGAUUGCUAGUGUUAUAACACGUGUUUUUGUUCGAAGUGAUAAGGUCAUAGACGAGUCCGAAACAAGUCGACAGGCCGAUAGCUUUCUCAAAGUAAGCAUUUUUAAACAAAACUCGCCUGGUCUGCAUCUGACUUCACGAGUCAGUGUUUCUAUCUCUGGAAAAUGUGUGUCACUCUUUUAAUGCGCCAGACAUGACGGGUACCUAAACUGGUCAAAGUUCAUUAGAUUUCAACAUCUAGUAGAGUUCUGCUUGUGAGACCACCUUAGAAAUAGAGAACGCCAGCGCUGAAUUUUAGAAGACUGUAUUAAAAGGAUUUCUUCGAAGUGGAAGAGUUAUCGCUCGAAUACGAAGACACAAAGACAAGACGUGCGAGGAAAGGCUCCCUGGAACUGAAAAAGAAACAUGUUUACCAGUUCAAUGAUGUAUGCUUUGGUGAUGGAAGUUGUGCGAGUCUUCCACUGAAGUUCAAACAGUGUACAAUGAUCAUUCACCAGAAUGGAACAAUGCAAAACACGAAAACACCGACAACUGUUUUUUAAAUGGUAUCAAUUUGUUUAACAGUCGUGUGCCAAUGAUAAGCUGAAAAGCAAUGGUCGGUGUUCAAACUAAUGCAAAGCCUUCAUGUGUUGACAGUAAAA